rnacentral:rRNA from 1 species
AUUGAACGCUGGCGGCAUGCUUUACACAUGCAAGUCGAACGGUAACAGGUUAAGCUGACGAGUGGCGAACGGGUGAGUAAUGCAUCGGAACGUGCCCGAUCGUGGGGGAUAACGCAGCGAAAGCUGCGCUAAUACCGCAUACGAUCUGAGGAUGAAAGCGGGGGACCGUAAGGCCUCGCGCGAUCGGAGCGGCCGAUGUCAGAUUAGGUAGUUGGUGGGGUAAAGGCUCACCAAGCCAACGAUCUGUAGCUGGUCUGAGAGGACGACCAGCCACACUGGGACUGAGACACGGCCCAGACUCCUACGGGAGGCAGCAGUGGGGAAUUUUGGACAAUGGGCGAAAGCCUGAUCCAGCGAUGCCGCGUGCAGGAAGAAGGCCUUCGGGUUGUAAACUGCUUUUGUACGGAGCGAAAAGGCUCUCUCUAAUACAGGGGGCUCAUGACGGUACCGUAAGAAUAAGCACCGGCUAACUACGUGCCAGCAGCCGCAGUAAUAC